GCUAUGUCUAGGCUGAUCCCCGAAAACCCGUACACCCCUACGGGCUGGCAUAGCCGUCAGAAUUAGGGG
rnacentral:ncRNA from 17 species